GUGGGGAAUAUUGGACAAUGGGCGCAAGCCUGAUCCAGCCAUGCCGCGUGAGUGAUGAAGGCCUUAGGGUUGUAAAGCUCUUUCGCCGACGAAGAUAAUGACGGUAGUCGGAGAAGAAGCCCCGGCUAACUUCGUGCCAGCAGCCGCGGUAAUACGAAGGGGGCUAGCGUUGUUCGGAAUCACUGGGCGUAAAGCGCACGUAGGCGGAUUGUUAAGUCAGAGGUGAAAGCCUGGAGCUCAACUCCAGAACUGCCUUUGAUACUGGCAAUCUCGAGUCCGGAAGAGGUAAGUGGAACUGCGAGUGUAGAGGUGAAAUUCGUAGAUAUUCGCAAGAACACCAGUGGCGAAGGCGGCUUACUGGUCCGGUACUGACGCUGAGGUGCGAAAGCGUGGGGAGCAAACAGGAUUAGAUACCCCGGUAGUCC
rnacentral:rRNA from 1 species